CUCAGAAGGAGCAAAAAGCAGAGCAGGAUCUAAUAGGCUGCUUGCGUCCCUGUCACUGGAUUCGAUGAAAUCCUGUUGUUUAUUAUGCACAUGUCACAUACCUGAAAAAUCAAGUUCUUAGGAGAGGGAAUUUAAUUGGCCUAACUUGUAUCACCCGCCCUUGGGCCGGUCCCACCAAUUUGCAUGUAAUGGGGUACAGAAUUAGGGUAGUCCCCAAAGAAAAAAGUGGUGCUAUUAACAAAUAGAGAAGUAAAUUCUGGGUAGGCAAUAUCAACAGAUUUCAUCUAUGUUAACUUUGAGUUGGUUUGCUACUAGACUGCAGCCUUGUUUUGACAUCAAUUUUUUUUCUCAAAGAAUUUUACUCUUUCAACACCAAGGAAACUCAAGACAGUAGAAAACUACUGGACAAUAGCACCAAGUAAUGUAUUUGUGUGUGAAGACCCACUAAUUUAUGCAAUUAUACCUCAAUCUAUGCAGUAUCUUCUUAAAGAUUAUUAAAAAAUCAAAUUUAUUUUAAAGAAGUUUGCCUUUUAUUUAAAUAAAUACUGUCUAAACU
rnacentral:sRNA from 1 species